rnacentral:lncRNA from 1 species
UGCCUCUGACCUCUCUAUGGCAAGCCAAAUGGCCAUGGGAAGACCCCAUGGAGUGUCAGAAUGAUGCCGUUGAGGGCAAGGAUUUUAGACCGGUCAUGGAUUCUGCCUGUGCACUGGGCUCUACCACUUUCUAGCUAUCUGGCUACCAGCAAGUUACCUUAACAGUCUAAGUUUCAACCUCCCCAUUCGUGAAAUGGAGAUAACGUCUUAGUCAUAGGGGUUGCAAGUCUACUGCAUAUUAAGAGUGUAGCACUAAGCCUGGCUCUUCAUAAGGAAACAGGCCGAGAGACGCAAGUCAAACAGCAAAGGAUGGGCUGCUGUCUGUCUGACUCCAAUGCCAAUGGUCUUUCCUCUAUAACCUAAAGCAAUAAAACCCCUGCAACAUCUA